rnacentral:lncRNA from 1 species
AGUUCCAAGACUUGGUGUUGGCUGUUCAUGCCAACUCAAGGGGCAGUGGUGGUUUUCCCUGCCAUGCACAGAGACUCUUCUUGUAGACCCCACCCCUUGUAGACCUCCAACCACCAGGCUUCACUCCCACACUACCCUGGAGGCAUGAGUGGUCAGCUCCCAACCCCCAGGAGCUCCAAUGACCAGGCCCCACCCACAGACUUUCCUGAAGUUGGCCAUUCCCAGCAACCAUCUAUCCCAGCCCCAACACCCACAGUGGCCAGGCCCUGUCCUGCAGAAAAAAAAAAAAAUCUCACCAAUCCCUGAGUCUGCCUCACAAUCAGGCCACAUAAGCCCACCAAUCCCAGGCCACCUUGGAAAGCUCCAGCUCUGCCCCAAGAAACACUAUAUAAAUUCCUGCCUUCAGCUCAGUUCUCGCUGCUUCUCACCUGAACGGAGAGAGGUAGCCGCCUUUCUGGGUUUUUCUCUCCCAAUAAGUCUUUGUUUGAGGUUUGUUGUGCAGCGUGACUUUGUGAUACUGUGUGAUAGUCCUUGGCUCCAGCUGCCAGGAUACCUCUCCCAACUGAGGUGUAGCACUUAGCCUUGGAAAUCCUGACCUCCCCUCCAGAGUUUAACAGUCAAACAGUGUAUCAGAGUUAACUGUCAAGUGAUACUUUAAGCCAAGCCCUACUUUUCCCACUGUGCAUGCUCCAAAGAUCCUAUAAAAGCCCACCCCUCUGCCCAGUCCUUCGCAGUCUCUUUCUGUUCAGAGGCAGCUGCCACUAUGUUCUUCCCAAUAAAUCACUUGUGUGGUUUGUU